rnacentral:tRNA from 2 species
UAGGGUAUGGCGUAAAAUGGUAACGUGUUUGCUUUGGGAGUAAAAGAUUAUAGGUUCAAAUCCUAUUACCCUAA